rnacentral:rRNA from 1 species
UACGGAAGGGGCAAGCGUUGUUCGGAAUCAUUGGGCGUAAAGGGCGCGUAGGUGGUUCUGUAUGUCUACCGUGAAAGCAUACAGCUCAACUGUAUUUUGUCGGUAGAAACUGCAGGACUUGAGGCUGGGAGGGGCUGGUGGAAUUCCCUGUGUAGCGGUGAAAUGCGCAGAUAUCAGGAAGAACACCCGUGGCGAAAGCGGCUCUCUGGGACGGUACUGACGCUGAGACGCGAAAGCGUGGGGAGCGAACAGG